CACGUAGGGUGCGAGCGUUGUCCGGAAUUAUUGGGCGUAAAGAGCUCGUAGGUCGGUUUGAUCCGCGUCUUGCUGUGAAAACUGGAGGCUCAACCUCCAGCCUGCAGUGGGUACGGGCAGACUAGAGUGCGGUAGGGGAGAAUUGGAAUUCCUGGUGUAGCGGUGGAAUGCGCAGAUAUCAGGAGGAACACCGGAUGGCGAAGGCAGGUCUCUGGGCUGAACACGUGACGCUCAUGCACGAAAGCGUGGGGAGCAAACAGG
rnacentral:rRNA from 1 species